UUUUUUUUAAUAGACGGCAUCCCCGCCGGCGGUGCGGUGGCCGGCGCUCCCCCGGGGAGCCCGGGCGGCACCCGGGAGAGGAUGAUGGCACGGGGAGGGGGGUGCGUUUAAUAAAGCACAUUCUUCGGGGAACGACAAGGGAGUACGACAGAGACUGCAAAGCUGGUAUGUUGAAGCGAGCACAGCUGCCUUUUUUAAUGGUAGGGCUUUUGUCAGCUACCAAAAUCUAGAUGAUGGUUAAAUUCAACCUAGUAUCAGAUGCUUUUACAACUGACGUGUCACUUGAGCCCCGUCUCAGCAGAACUGCUGUGGGCUACAAGUGAGAGGCAGCAAAAGCACGUUCUGAUGUCAAAUGUUUUCUUCAUGUCUCCUCUGGGUUUGAGGAUUUUGUCCACCAGCUGGUAAUAACCCCAGUAAACAUCGUAGCAUUCACACUGUACCUCCUCAGUAGGUGUGGAAGCACAAACAAACAUGGACCCACGCUGGCAUCAAGGACUUUGGUUUCAUUCAUGACAGAGAUUUAACACGUCCAUUCUUUGGGAGCAGCCUAAGAUAGAAGAAGGAAAAAUAAGAACUUGGAAAAAUAAUAAACCUUACUACUUACAUGCAAAGUGUGUUUUUCAACCUUGGCUUUGUUAACAUAAGCACUGAAGAAGAACAGGGCCUCACACAUAACAAUUGUUUUCUCAUAUUGUAUAUACAUACGUUUAAAAAAGAAAUCAAAAUGAAACUAUUUUACAGAUAUCUGCCCUAGGCGAAUGGAUGUGAGAACAGAUGGACACAAGUUUGUCAUACUAUUUAAUGCGCAGCUAGGAGACUGAUAUUAUGGUGAUAAGCAUAGAUAACCAGUGUGUAAUAAGUUAGAAGUAUAAGAAGCCAAAAUUAAGUAUAUACAUGCAUUCAACAUCUGUGCAACUGGAACAAAUUCAUAAUUAGUUUUCAUAGCUAUAAUAUUGCCAGUUAUAUGUGUGAGCUACCCAUACUGGGUUUGAAUUUGUUGUACUGCUUUUGAAGUCAACUGAAAUUCUGUUGGUAUCUCAGAAAUUAGUUUUUUACCCUCUCUAUAUAUUCUGCUCAUAGGCAAUGAUUUUUUGGGGAGACCAUUUUCUACAAAAUUAAUGUUGCUAAAUGCCAUUGGCAGCUGUGAAAAUCUAAGCCAGUAUCCUUAUAAAAAUACUCUAUGAGCUUUACUAAGACUGCAAAUAAGUGGGUGGAACUCCAUUGAAAUAAAAAGCUAGAACAGAAUUGAAUUUGACCCCAUUUAUACAAGAUGUAAAAAUAAAAAUUGCUUUAAUCUUAACAUUUAAAUUUCCAGACCUGGUAGCUCUUAUAAAUGUGAACAUACAUGUUCCUGUAAAUUACUGUUUCAUUUUUGAGAGGAAAAAAUAAAACAAAAAUCUCCAAUCUUUUAUACACUCGUGGUUUCUUUAUAUUUGCUUCAUUCCCACUGGUGUGUACCAAAAUCACUUAUUUUCACUGACCAUUAAGUGUUAGAAGGCCAUCUAUGUAAUUGAGUAACAGUAGUUGCUACCUACAUUGAGUGUCUGUUUUCUUGUAAUAUAAAACUGAUUCUGCCAUUGGUUAGAACUAAAUUAUUUACACAUUGCAGUUAAAUUAGUGAAUCCUUUUCUAUGUAUUUAGCUAUGUAAAUUGGCAUCCUUGAAGCCUGAUAAUUUGAAAAGCUUUGUGUGUUAAACUUAGGGCAGUUUGAGUUGGGAACCUUAAAAGAUCCAGUCUUACAAAGAUGUGCACAGAUUGGGGUUACAGACCUGCCCCCAUACAUAAACUCAGUCAUACAUUUUGCAGAUUAAACAUAAAAUCAUUCUUCUAAGAAGUGCUUUUCCCUUUUUUACACUUGAAAUGUAAAAUAAAUGAAAAAAAGAACAAAACUUU